GGUAGUGUUAUGAGCCUGGUGAUAGUUUGACAAGGCUUUGGUGGAGGUUGUGUUAGUAUGUCCAUGGGUAGUGUUAUGAGCCUGGUGAUAGUUUGACAAGGCUUUGGUGGAGGUUGUGUUAGUAUGUCCAUGGGUAGUGUUAUGAGCCUGGUGAUAGUUUGACAAGGCUUUGGUGGAGGUUGUGUUAGUAUGUCCAUGGGUAGUGUUAUGAGCCUGGUGAUAGUUUGACAAGGCUUUGGUGGAGGUUGUGUUAGUGUGUCCAUGGGUAGUGUUAUGAGCCUGGUGAUAGUGUGACAAGGCUUUGGUGGAGGUUGUGUUAGUAUGUCCAUGGGUAGUGUUAUGAGCCUGGUGAUAGUUUGACAAGGCUUUGGUGGAGGUUGUGUUAGUGUGUCCAUGGGUAGUGUUAUGAGCCUGGUGAUAGUUUGACAAGGCUUUGGUGGAGGUUGUGUUAGUGUGUCCAUGGGUAGUGUUAUGAGCCUGGUGAUAGUUUGACAAGGCUUUGGUGGAGGUUGUGUUAGUGUGUCCAUGGGUAGUGUUAUGAGCCUGGUGAUAGUUUGACAAGGCUUUGGUGGAGGUUGUGUUAGUAUGUCCAUGGGUAGUGUUAUGAGCCUGGUGAUAGUUUGACAAGGCUUUGGUGGAGGUUGUGUUAGUAUGUCCAUGGGUAGUGUUAUGAGCCUGGUGAUAGUGUGACAAGGCUUUGGUGGAGGUUGUGUUAGUGUGUCCAUGGGUAGUGUUAUGAGCCUGGUGAUAGUUUGACAAGGCUUUGGUGGAGGUUGUGUUAGUGUGUCCAUGGGUAGUGUUAUGAGCCUGGUGAUAGUUUGACAAGGCUUUGGUGGAGGUUGUGUUAGUGUGUCCAUGGUUAGUGUUAUGAGCCUGGUGAUAGUUUGACCAGGCUUUGGUGGAGGUUGUGUUAGUAUGUCCAUGGGUAGUGUUAUGAGCCUGGUGAUAGUUUGACAAGGCUUUGGUGGAGGUUGUGUUAGUAUGUCCAUGGGUAGUGUUAUGAGCCUGGUGAUAGUCUGACAAGGCUUUGGUGGAGGUUGUGUUAGUGUGUCCAUGGGUAGUGUUAUGAGCCUGGUGAUAGUUUAACAAGGCUUUGGUGGAGGUUGUGUUAGUGUGUCCAUGGGUAGUGUUAUGAGCCUGGUGAUAGUUUGACAAGGCUUUGGUGGAGGUUGUGUUAGUGUGUCCAUGGGUAGUGUUAUGAG